rnacentral:rRNA from 1 species
CUUCGGAGUUAGUGGCGGACGGGUGAGUAACACGUGGGAACGUGCCUUUUGGUUCGGAAUAGCUCCUGGAAACGGGUGGUAAUGCCGAAUGUGCCCUUCGGGGGAAAGAUUUAUCGCCAUUAGAGCGGCCCGCGUCUGAUUAGCUAGUUGGUGAGGUAAAGGCUCACCAAGGCUACGAUCAGUAGCUGGUCUGAGAGGAUGACCAGCCACAUUGGGACUGAGACACGGCCCAAACUCCUACGGGAGGCAGCAGUGGGGAAUCUUGCGCAAUGGGCGAAAGCCUGACGCAGCCAUGCCGCGUGUAUGAUGAAGGUCUUAGGAUUGUAAAAUACUUUCACCGGUGAAGAUAAUGACUGUAGCCGGAGAAGAAGCCCCGGCUAACUUCGUGCCAGCAGCCGCGGUAAUACGAAGGGGGCUAGCGUUGCUCGGAAUUACUGGGCGUAAAGGGAGCGUAGGCGGACAUUUAAGUCAGGGGUGAAAUCCCAGAGCUCAACUCUGGAACUGCCUUUGAUACUGGGUGUCUUGAGUGUGAGAGAGGUAUGUGGAACUCCGAGUGUAGAGGUGAAAUUCGUAGAUAUUCGGAAGAACACCAGUGGCGAAGGCGACAUACUGGCUCAUUACUGACGCUGAGGCUCGAAAGCGUGGGGAGCAAACAGGAUUAGAUACCCUG